rnacentral:rRNA from 1 species
AACGAACGCUGGCGGCAUGCCUAACACAUGCAAGUCGAACGAGACCUUCGGGUCUAGUGGCGCACGGGUGCGUAACGCGUGGGAACCUGCCCUUAGGUUCGGAAUAACUCCCCGAAAGGGGUGCUAAUACCGGAUAAUGUCUUCGGACCAAAGAUUUAUCGCCUUUGGAUGGGCCCGCGUUGGAUUAGCUAGUUGGUAGGGUAAAAGCCUACCAAGGCGACGAUCCAUAGCUGGUCUGAGAGGAUGAUCAGCCACACUGGGACUGAGACACGGCCCAGACCCCUACGGGGGGAAGAAGGGGGGAAUAUUGGACAAGGGGCAAAAGCCUGACCCAGCAAUGCCGGGUGGGGGAUGAAGGCUUUAGGGUUGAAAACCUCUUUUACCCGGGAUGAUAAGGACAGUACCGGGAGAAUAAGCCCCGGCUAACCCCG